rnacentral:lncRNA from 1 species
AAAAUUGGAUAAAUUGUUCAAUUUGUUUGGUACGUAUGAUCUUGAUACCUGUCCUACUGACCACACUUUCCCAGAAGUAAAUAUUAUAACAUAUAUACAAGAUACCAUGACCAUCUGACGCGCCUUUAAUUUUCAGAUGGUUUAUUGCUUUUACUUUUCAGAAGGUUUGUUGCCUUUAAUUUUUAGAUGGUUUAUUGCCUUUAAUUUUCAGAUUAUUAUGUUCAUCCGUUUUAUCCGUUACGCUUCCGUUAGGUGUCCGUUUUAUCCGGUACUCGUCCGUUGGAUGUACGUUCGACGUCCGUUCUGUCCGAUAGGUAUCCGUUUCACGUGCGUUCAAUGUCCGUUGUGUGUCCGUUAGGCAUUCGUUACAUGUCCGCUAGUACACCAACGGACACCCAACGGAUAAAAAGUUUGUCAACGGAUAACUUUUUUUUAUCCGUUAGGCGUCCGUCCGAGCUAUCCGGUAAGGUGUGACCGAGGCUUAA